CUACCACUCCUGGGACCCUUGUGAGGAUAAGCAGCUCAGAAAAUGGGUGGGUGUGGGGACUUCUUACAAACAAAUAAAAGACUUUAAAAUAAAAAUAUAAUAAAAUGCUGUACUUGCCAUUACUGUGAGAGGUGGAUGAUGAAGAAUGAAAGGAGGCCGUGCUUAGUUAUUGCAUUUGUAGGUAGCUCUUGCUAACAGUUAUUUCCUCCUCAGCAUCAUUGCAUUUCUGCUCUUUCAAAGUUAGGAAUAUACAACAUGCCUUUUCCCUUUAUGAACAUUAUUCUGAUAUUAACCCUACAUGGAUUCUGAUCCUCAAUCCAUAACGUAAGUAUUUUUACGCAUCUCGGGAAUAAUCGAAGAACAUUGCUUUGAUUUAUUUAUUUUUUUCUUGAUGAAAAAGUUACCUCGUGAUCAAUGUACACAUCAUGGGGCAAAACCCUUCAGUGUGCUAAAAUACGGGCUCUGUCCUUAAUAAUACUGUCAUGGUACUUGUCUUGGCUGUGCCGGUCCACGACACGGCACACACUGCCAGCAAUCAGUGAGGCGGACACCUGCGGCUCGUUCCCCGUAAUUAUGACGAAUAAGUCUCCUCGUACACUCUGGCCUUUGCCAGAUCAUUGCCUCAUGCCUCGUACCCGCAAUCUCUUGAUUUCGUUCCUGACCUCCCGUGUACUGAUCCCCAACAAUGGACUGAAUAAAAAUGUUUCCCAAACCGCCUCUAAGUCUCCUGAGUCGUGCAUUUGGGUCCAACCCCGUGUUCUUGUCGAGACACAACGAUCUGGCCAUAACAUGGACUCAGCCGACUCAGCUGUUAUCCGUCAGUCCCUGCAGAUCCAAGGCAGACGUAUUGCCGAGCAAGAAGCCGCUCUCUUGGUGACUAAUCACAGGUUACAGGAGAUAUGUGCUCAGCUGGACUAGUGGUUCUCGUCCUGUACAGUGCUGCCAACACCAGUCCGACAACAGCUUCCACUGCCACAAGUCCAUCAGCGCCCGCUCCCUGCCUGUCAUGGAUGCCCAGCGGACCAUGUGGAUACACGGAUAGCCUUCAUGAUAUCCGACCUGACGGGGAGAGCAGAGACCUGGGCCACAGCCGAAUGGAGCCGCGGUUCCAAUACCUGAUGCACCUGGACCUCCUUUGCGUGUGCUACGACACAGAGCGGCAGAGAGCCGGUGGAACGAGGGAGCACUCCUCGAUGCAUUCUUUCAGGGGCUCUCGCCCGGGAUUCAAGACCACCUCGUCACAGUGCAACUGGCCACAGACCUGGACUCGCUCCUUGCCUUUGACCUGAGGAUCGACCAGAGGCUCGCGAUACAGGGGAAGGUUGACGCACUACAGGGAGACGCCCGACGGAACCUCGUACCACAGGCUCCAACCGGUCCAGGUUGACGAGACGGAGCCCAUGCAAGUCGAGGGGGUCAAGGAGGAGUGGCAACGAUGCCGGCAAGAGGAUAAAUGUUAUUUUUGUGGGUGGUUGGGCCACCUUGUGGCUUGUUGUCCUGUCAAGCCACCACAACCCAGACUCAAGGUGUCUACACCGGUGAAUGUAAACUACACUGCGGGCAGUUUGACGCAGUCCCUGCUUCAGGUUACUCUAAGCGCAAGUGGACGUUCAUGUACGGUUACGGAGUUCAUCGACUCUGGGUCAGACGCGAACCUCCCGAACCCACGAGUAGUUGACUUAUUGAGCUUGGAAACAUUUAGGACACAGCAACUCAGGUACGCUUAUUCAGCUAAAGGCAAUUUUUUGUGCCGAAUAACCCACCGUACACAGACGAAGGGGGACCGCUGGUCGCUCCGGUAGUACCGCGGGACUCGCAACCGGAAUCGGACUUGUCGCUAGUGCCUCCCUGCUUUUCUGACUUAAAAGAAGUAUUCUCUGAAGCAAAGGCUAAGUCUCUCCCGCCUCACUGGCCAUAUGACUGUGCCGUUGAAUUACUGCACGGCACCUCACCCCCACGUGGGAGAACUUUUUCUCUUACAGGCCCGGAACACCAAACCAUGAGGGACUAUAAGGAGGAGUCGCUGGCGGGGUCCUUAUCCGACCCUCGUCUUCAUCAGCCGGAACUGGCUUCUUUUUUGUUAAUAAAAAGGACACAACCCUGUGCACCUGCAUCAACUACUGGGGCCUAAACAAUAUCACUGUUAAGAACAGGUAUCCCCUUCCCUUUAUCACCACGGCCUUCGAGCUGCUGCAAGGGGAUUGAAUCUUCACCAAAUUGGAUUUACGGAAUGCGUACCACCUGGUGCGCAUUAGGGAGGGGUACGAGUGGAAGACUGCCUUCAAAACGCCCACGGGCCACUACAAAUACCUGGUAAUGCCGUUUGGGCCUACCAAUGCGCCAGCGGUAUUCCAGAAUUUCAUCAAUGAUGUUCUGCGUGAAAUGCUGAAUAAACAUGUUUUUGUCUAUGUUGACCAUAUUCUGAUUUCUUUUCUAGACAGGGAUUCCCACGUCGAGCAUGUCCGAGCUGUGCUGCAGCAACUCGUGCGGCACAACCUUGAUGUAAAGGAAGAAAAAAAAGUGAAUUUCACUGGCAUUCCAUCACGUUCUUGGGUUUCAUUCUAGCUGAGGGGGAAAGUUGGAUGGCCCCCAGCAAGGUUGAAUCCAUUCUUCAGUGGCCCACCCCCACGAACUGCAAGGAGGUUCAGAGGUUCAUCGGAUUCACGCAAAACCCGAACUACAACAUGGUCCGCAAGAGAAAUGAGUUUGACACCCUUGCACUACACCAUCAGAAAAAAAAAAAAUGUAACAAGUUACUGUGCUUUAAUAACUUUAUUACUGCCAUUUGUCUUUUCAUCCUAUAUGUGUUUAUGAAUUAACAUCUACUGUAUAUGCAGUUUUACCCGAACACUGGUAUAGACUGAGCAAGAGCUGAAUGACAUGGACAAAAUAGCAGAAAAAAAACAUGUAGUUGCACCUUACACACUGUAAAAGGUAAUCUCAGCUGAGUCAUCCAAAGGGAAAGGUGAGAAAAGUCCAGCAUACGGUGGGUGCAGAUUUAUAGUAUCUGAAAAUACCUGAAGGCUGGUGAAGAUUUAAAAGACACUUGACUCAUUAAGGGGUGACUUGGUCGACAUGACUUCAAAAUGGCUAAAUAAUAUGAUAGCAUGUUGGGCUGCAACAAAUUGACAGCCGUAAAGAUAUUUUUGUUCAUAUGCUAUUUUUGGACACCUGUAAUGCUGGCAAAAAUACAUAGCAACAGAACCAUUAAUUAUACUCAGUCAUCUAUGCCUACCACACAUAAGAUAAAGACGUGCAACCUAAUUUCUAAUAACAUUGGUAAACAACUGUGCGGGAGUCACCGAGGCAUGAGGGGAGGACUCAGUAUGUCAAUCAGUUAAGCACUUUUUCAAUUCCUUGGCAGAGUCUAAUUACUGGGGAUUCCAUCUAUGGGCUUAUGCUAAAGGAAACCCCCAUUUUCUUCUCACCAUUUGCCAAUUUAAUACUACCUUAAACUCGAAUGCCAUAAAAAAUUGUCAGUAUACUAUGGAGGGAGUUGAAGUAUUUUAACCGAAAAAUCGUGAGGAACAUUUUAUUUUACUUUUUUUUACAAAUGGGAAACGACUGGUUGUUAUUACAGGCAUGAGCAUUUCACGGAAACGAUCGUUCCAUUACUGUGUCGUUACCCAGCCUGAGAAAACACGGAACCGAAAGUCCGUUUCCCAGAUCUCAGGGCUUACUUUUAAUAAAAUUCGCCCAUGUGUGGCAUAUAAAACAAGUUCUCAACGAAAUACCGCAAUCUGUAUAAAACGAACCUCCAUGAAGCCUUUUAUUUUUAAUGAUCAAAACGCCCAGUUUUGUCAGUGUGGUUUACAAACAGCACAGGUUUCCGCUUCUGCGCUACGCAUGCGCAAGGUCAAGUUAUUCAUAUCUGGGUCACUCAAACGCUAGUCAAACAUGUCGGUUGCUAAGCGUAAAAGACAAAAUGCUCAUGCCUGCUAAGGCUUUAUUCUGAAGUACAUGUAAAAACCGGUUCCCAUCAAUGGGAACCGAAAAAUCGUUUCCCACCAUUUCCCAGGACAAAAAUCAACGGAACCGAAAGAUCGGUUAGCAUACUUGCCGAAAUCAUCAUGCCCGUUUUAAUGUAGAAUGCAGCUAACUGGGUAAACUAUAGUUGCAUCACAUGCGUGGGCCCUUGGCCACUACUAUGUGUCAUUCCAGCAGAAAUCCCAACACAAUGUACCCUGGAGGUAAUGACUAAAACAACUCCUAACACCACUUGUCAAAAAUGGAAUAGUGUUCAUCCAACAACUGAGGCAGUAAAUGAUAAAUUUAUAUUUUCUACUUAUGUUGCAUUGGCUAAUUUCUCCUGUGUUAGCUGUACAGGGACAGAUUUUAAGGUGGGAAGUCUCACCAAAACAAGGUGUCAUGAUAUCCACCUGCAAACCGCCCCACUGCUCCCAUGCAGCGAUGUGUUGUGGUGGUGUGUUGGUCAAAAGUUGUAUGACACACUGAUAAAUGCAGCAGGAACGUGUGCACUGGUAUCAUUGCUCUUAUCUGUGACUGUGUUUCCAUCCAAAGCAGAGGAUGUACAAUUGGCCGCAUCCACCUUUGGACUUCCCCAUGAGUUGUCCCGAAGGCGAAGGGGAGAUCUGACAUACGUUGAUGCAAAUGGCAUCCCAACUGCAUACCAGAAGAGUAUAAGUUGGUUAACGAGAUUGCUGCAGGAUGGGAAUCCAUCUUGUUAUGGAUAGUUCUGAAUAAAAACGUUAACAGAAUAAACUACAUACAUUACAAUGUACAGAAACUAGGUCAUUAUACGGAAGCAGGCUUUAUUGCCAUAAGGGAACAACCAGCUGCAACCUUACUCAUGGCGUUCAAGCACCGGAUAGCAGUCGACAUGCUCCUGGCCGAGAAGGGUGGCGACUGCUCAAUGUUCGGUGACCAGUGUUGUUUAUUCCAAAUAUCACAGCACCUGAUGGGUCACACACAAGGGCCAUUCAAGGCCUCCGCACCCUGAACCACAAGAUGAAGGACCACUCUGGUGUAAACACAUCAGUCAGGUCUGAGUGGUGGGAAUAAAAAAAAAGUUUGGCAAAUCUAAAAAUUUGGUGUUCUCUGUCCAAGUUUCUGUAGCUGUUUGCAGCUGUUCUUGCAUUGUGUGGAUGCUGUUGUAUUCCCUGCACAAAGGCAUCACUUAACCAACUCAUAACCACUGCUAUUGCCCCGACAAAUUCAACAUUGGCAGAAAUAUAUCCACUAUUGGCAAAACAGAGUAAUGACAGUGAUAUUGUUGACCAUAAAAUAAAUAGAGGUGCUGAG